rnacentral:rRNA from 1 species
AUGAUCAAGAAUGCUCAGAAAAACAAGUUGAUUGUUGGCCUAGCCCCGGAUUUGAUCCCUGAUGGGGUUGCGGUGCUACAGUAUGCGGAUGGUACCAUUAUCUAUAUGGAACAUGAUGUGCGUAAGGCAGUUAACCUGAAGUUGCUGCUAUACAUGUUUGAAAUGAUGUCUGGCCUCAAAGUGAAUUUCCAGAAGAGUGAGAUUCUAACUGUUGGUGGAGAUGAGAAUAUCAUUAGAGAAUAUGCCGAGCUCUUCAACUGUGACAUUGGCAGUUUCCCAAUUAAAUACUUGGGGAUGCCACAACCUUAG